rnacentral:rRNA from 1 species
CCCUAGUAUAAAAAUGUAGUUAUUAGUAAAAAUGUGAAAUUAAAAAUUUUUGGCGGUUGAUUUAUUUUUAGAGGAGCUUGUUUUGGAUAUUACUCUUUAUAUUUAAUUUAUGAGGGUUUAUUUAUCUCCGUUAUUAGAAAUGUUUGUAAAAUUUUAUGGUUUUAUUUCAGGUCAAGAUGUAGCAAUUUAUAAAUUAUAAUUAGCUACAUUUAUGUAAUAAUGAAUUUUUGAAAAGUAAUUGAUUAUGAAAUUGAAUUUAGUUGUAAUAUUAAUUUUAUUAAAAAUAUGUGAAGGGAGUAAAGUUAAUGUA